CUCGGAGUUUGAUCCUGGCUCAGGAUGAACGCUAGCGGCAGGCUUAACACAUGCAAGUCGAGGGGUAUAGUUCUUCGGAGCUAGAGACCGGCGCACGGGUGCGUAACGCGUAUGCAAUCUACCUUUUACAGGGGAAUAGCCCAGAGAAAUUUGGAUUAAUGCCCCAUAGUAUAUAUCAUUCGCAUGUUUGAUAUAUUAAAGUUCCAACGGUAAAAGAUGAGCAUGCGUCCCAUUAG
rnacentral:rRNA from 1 species